CAUGUUUUCCCGGCUGCUCAGGCUAUUUCACAGGGAGAAUGGCGAUCAAGGAGAGACCAGACCAAGGCAGAAGGAAUUUGGCAUCCUUUCUUAUGAAAAAGGAAGAAUGAAAUCAUUCUGGGGAAGACACGGUGAGAUGAUUUAUUCUUUGGUCCAUGCUCUGCCACAGGAUGAACACUGAAUUCACCAUCAUUAAAUCACAACAUGAGAAGACAAUGUUGGAUAUGGAAAAAAUGAUGCAGUCAAUAAGUGAUACCACUGAGAAGUACAAGGAAUUCAUAGAAGAUAAAGAUUCCUACAGGUGAGUCCCAGACACAGCUGAGACCCAGCACUAGCAUCAGGCACACCCACCUCCUGAAAGAAUGCAAUCAAUUGAAGAAAAUAGUAAGGAUGUUGCUGAAUGAGAACAGAAAGCUGCUGGUAGAGCAGGCUGACCAGGAGGCAUCCUUUGGUGAAGAAAAGAGUUCUGUGAUGAGACCAGCAAGAACAUACA
rnacentral:lncRNA from 1 species